ensembl:lncRNA novel transcript
CAUUUUCAAAGGGAUGGGAAAUACACUCGACUUUUUGAAGAGGAGUGGCAAGGAACACCUGGAGGCUGAUGAAGACAAUAAUAGUUAAAAGAACAGAAAACGUGAAUGGAUAUGGAGGUCGUUUUUAGGUAUGUGGUGGUUAUAAGAAGUUUACAGUAUAUCAGUGCAUAGUUUCCAGAAGAUAGGUGGAAAUCUAGAGCUUAGAAAAGCCUGAACUAUAGGUGAAACAACAUUAAGCAGUCAGUCAUGAACUAAACUACAUGGUAGAAGAGAAAGGAAACAGAGAAAGUGUUCACAGCUGAAUCUUACCGGACUCAUUGAGUGGCAUGAAGGAAGAGAAAUAGAAGUCAGUAAACAGGCAGCCAAGAGGGGAUCCAGGAACAACAUAGACAAAAAUAAGGAAGAGCACCUUUUCAACAUUGAAGGAAUCCAUGGUGUCAACUGUCGGAGAUUACCGUCUGCAACAAUGGAGAAGGACUCAAAAGAUUUUAUGCAGCACUUUAACAGCAGUGGUCCUUUCCCAGGAAUGAUUUUGCAACGCCCCCUGGGACAUUUGGAAAUCUCUGGAGACAUUUUUAAUUCUUAUGACUGGAGGUGCCACUGACAGUGAGUGGAUAGAGGUCUCCUUAUGUUGCCCAGGCUGAUCUUGAACUCCUGGCUUCAAGCAAUUCUCCUGCAUUGGCUUCCCCAAGUGCUGGGAUUACAGUUCUGGAGUCCGGAAGUCCAAGAUCAAGGUGUCAGUGGGUUUGGUUGCACUGAGGCCACAUUCCUUGGCUUCCAGAUGACUGCCCAUUUGCUGCCUCUUCACGUGGUCGUCCCUCUGAACACCCACCCUUGGUAGAAACUAUGCCAAUGUCAACAAUUUCUAAGGACAUUUAGAGAAGACGGGUUGAAGAAAGAAGUUGCAUGCUGGAGACCAAUUAACAGGUUAGAACUCUCACAUUUGUUUUGCUGGUUCACUCUGCCCGUGUUCUACAAAAGCCCCAGUUGCAGUCUGAGCUGUGGCUCAGCUUCCUCUCCUCAUCAUAGAAUGUUGGCUCUGGGUAAUCCUCCCCUAACCUGCCCAGUCUCAGUUCUGAAAUGUUUGCUAAUGUUGCUUGCCAUUUCUUUGCCAAAACCUACUCAUUCAAUUCCAUUUGACCUGGACAAUUCGACGGACACAAAGGCUGAAAACACUGCAGAAAAAUCAGUCUCCAUGUGCUCAUCAGAGAUUUUGGUGACUGAAUCUUAUUUUGGGUGGUGGAAGAUGAAGUUAUAAAUCAGGAUGUUUUUAAAAUAGCUAAACUCUACGUAAUGCCUCUAUGAUUUCCAAGUGAAAAAUAAACUCAAAGGAAAUUUGAAAUGUAAAA